GGACCCGCACAAGCAGCGGAGCAUGUGGUUUAAUUCGACGCAACGCGAAGAACCUUACCUGGGCUUGACAUGUUCCUGACCGCGUUGGAAACAACGCUUCCCUUCGGGGCAGGAUCACAGGUGGUGCAUGGCUGUCGUCAGCUCGUGUCGUGAGAUGUUGGGUUAAGUCCCGCAACGAGCGCAACCCCCGUCGCAUGUUGCCAGCAUUCAGUUGGGGACUCAUGUGAGACUGCCGGUGACAAACCGGAGGAAGGUGGGGAUGACGUCAAGUCAUCAUGCCCCUUAUGUCUUGGGCUACACACGUGCUACAUUGGCCGGUACAAAGGGCUGCAAACUCGCGAGAGUGAGCGAAUCCCAAAAAGCCGGUCCCGGUUCGGAUUGGAGGCUGAAACUCGCCUCCAUGAAGGCGGAGUUGCUAGUAAUCGCGAAUCAGCAACGUCGCGGUGAAUAUGUUCCCGGGCCUUGUACACACCGCCCGUCACACCACGAAAGUUGGCAAUACCCGAAGCCGGUGGCCUAACCCGCAAGGGAGGGAGCCGUCUAAGGUAGGGUUGAUGAUUGGGGUG
rnacentral:rRNA from 1 species